GACGAACGCUGGCUGCGUGCUUAACACAUGCAAGUCGAACGCUGAAGCCAGAAGCUUGCUUCUGGUGGAUGAGUGGCGAACGGGUGAGUAACACGUGAGUAACCUGCCCCCGAUUUCGGGAUAAGCCCGGGAAACUGGGUCUAAUACCGGAGACGACCAUCCCUCGCAUGAGGGGUGGUGGAAAGUUUUUCGAUCGGGGAUGGGCUCGCGGCCUAUCAGCUUGUUGGGGGGGUAAUGGCCCACCAAGGCGACGACGGGUAGCCGGCCGGAGAGGGCGACCGGCCACACUGGGACUGAGACACGGCCCAGACUCCUACGGGAGGCAGCAGUGGGGAAUAUUGCACAAUGGGGGAAACCCUGAUGCAGCGACGCAGCGUGCGGGAUGACGGCCUUCGGGUUGUAAACCGCUUUCAGCAGGGAAGAAGCCGUAAGGUGACGGUACCUGCAGAAGAAGUACCGGCUAACUACGUGCCAGCAGCAGCCGCGG
rnacentral:rRNA from 1 species